GUUUUGCUAGUAUAUUGUAUUCUUGAUUUCCAAUCAAGAGGUCCGAAUGGCUUUCGGGCAAAAUU
rnacentral:tRNA from 1 species